UGCUGCAUCAUGAUUUACAUUUGAGUGAGUGGCGAACUGGUGAGUAACACGUGGGAAACCUGCCCAGAAGCGGGGGAUAACACCUGGAAACAGAUGCUAAUACCGCAUAACAACUUGGACCGCAUGGUCCGAGCUUGAAAGAUGGCUUCGGCUAUCACUUUUGGAUGGUCCCGCGGCGUAUAGCUAGAUGGUGGGGUAACGGCUCACCAUGGCAAUGAUACGUAGCCGACCUGAGAGGGUAAUCGGCCACAUUGGGACUGAGACACGGCCCAAACUCCUACGGGAGGCAGCAGUAGGGAAUCUUCCACAAUGGACGAAAGUCUGAUGGAGCAACGCCGCGUGAGUGAAGAAGGGUUUCGGCUCGUAAAACUCUGUUGUUAAAGAAGAACAUAUCUGAGAGUAACUGUUCAGGUAUUGACGGUAUUUAACCAGAAAGCCACGGCUAACUACGUGCCAGCAGCCGCGGUAAUACGUAGGUGGCAAGCGUUGUCCGGAUUUAUUGGGCGUAAAGCGAGCGCAGGCGGUUUUUUAAGUCUGAUGUGAAAGCCUUCGGCUCAACCGAAGAAGUGCAUCGGAAACUGGGAAACUUGAGUGCAGAAGAGGACAGUGGAACUCCAUGUGUAGCGGUGAAAUGCGUAGAUAUAUGGAAGAACACCAGUGGCGAAGGCGGCUGUCUGGUCUGUAACUGACGCUGAGGCUCGAAAGUAUGGGUAGCAAACAGGAUUAGAUACCCUGGUAGUCCAUACCGUAAACGAUGAAUGCUAAGUGUUGGAGGGUUUCCGCCCUUCAGUGCUGCAGCUAACGCAUUAAGCAUUCCGCCUGGGGAGUACGGCCGCAAGGCUGAAACUCAAAGGAAUUGACGGGGGCCCGCACAAGCGGUGGAGCAUGUGGUUUAAUUCGAAGCUACGCGAAGAACCUUACCAGGUCUUGACAUACUAUGCAAAUCUAAGAGAUUAGACGUUCCCUUCGGGGACAUGGAUACAGGUGGUGCAUGGUGUCGUCAGCUC
rnacentral:rRNA from 2 species